rnacentral:tRNA from 2 species
AACAAAGUAAGACUAAUUUUAAGCUAUUGGGUUCAUACCCCAAAUAUGAUUUAAAUAAUCCUUUGUUA